GCUUAAGUCAUGUACGGCCCCUUAAAGUUGUCCGCAUAAUUCACUUAAACACCUCAACUAAGGCUAGUACCUAUUAGACACUCUAAUAUUAACGAAUUUGUACCUAUUGAACACAAAAUGAUAAUAAAGUUUUAAAAUGUUGUGUGUGUAAUUCACGCGCACUAUCUUAAAAAAUAUAACAAAUAAAACUGCAGCAUGUGGCACAUGGGCCAAUCUAAUGAAUUUUCAUUUUUUAAAAAUAAAAUAAGAACUCCAACCUUUAAUAUUCCAAAAAAUUAAUUAACAAAAAAGGAGAAAAAAGAAAAACCCCACCCCCACCCCCACACAAACCCACCCACCUUUCUUCUUCUUCCCUGUUACCGGCCAUCCUAAUUCCUCCGACAACAAAUCUCGAUUUUCUCCGGCGACAGCAAAACGAAGAAACAAGAAAAUCUCCCCCACCCCGCUGUCCCAAAUCCACCCACCUAAUCAUUUGUCUUAUCCUCUUCUUCUUCUCCGUCAUGUGUUA
rnacentral:lncRNA from 1 species